GAGAGUUUGAUCCUGGCUCAGGACGAACGCUGGCGGCACGCUUAACACAUGCAAGUCGAACGAGAGAAGAGAAGCUUGCUUUUCUGAUCUAGUGGCGGACGGGUGAGUAACACGUGAGCAAUCUGCCUUUCAGAGGGGGAUACCGAUUGGAAACGAUCGUUAAUACCGCAUAACAUAAUUGAACCGCAUGAUUUGAUUAUCAAAGAUUUAUCGCUGAAAGAUGAGCUCGCGUCUGAUUAGCUAGUUGGUAAGGUAACGGCCUACCAAGGCGACGAUCAGUAGCCGGACUGAGAGGUUGAUCGGCCACAUUGGGACUGAGACACGGCCCAGACUCCUACGGGAGGCAGCAGUGGGGAAUAUUGCACAAUGGAGGAAACUCUGAUGCAGCGAUGCCGCGUGAGGGAAGAAGGUUUUAGGAUUGUAAACCUCUGUCUUCAGGGACGAAAAAAGACGGUACCUGAGGAGGAAGCUCCGGCUAACUACGUGCCAGCAGCCGCGGUAAUACGUAGGGAGCGAGCGUUGUCCGGAAUUACUGGGUGUAAAGGGAGCGUAGGCGGGAUCGCAAGUCAGAUGUGAAAACUAUGGGCUUAACCCAUAAACUGCAUUUGAAACUGUGGUUCUUGAGUGAAGUAGAGGUAAGCGGAAUUCCUAGUGUAGCGGUGAAAUGCGUAGAUAUUAGGAGGAACAUCAGUGGCGAAGGCGGCUUACUGGGCUUUAACUGACGCUGAGGCUCGAAAGCGUGGGGAGCAAACAGGAUUAGAUACCCUGGUAGUCCACGCCGUAAACGAUGAUUACUAGGUGUGGGGGGACUGACCCCUUCCGUGCCGCAGCAAACGCAAUAAGUAAUCCACCUGGGGAGUACGACCGCAAGGUUGAAACUCAAAGGAAUUGACGGGGGCCCGCACAAGCAGUGGAGUAUGUGGAUUAAUUCGAAGCAACGCGAAGAACCUUACCAGGUCUUGACAUCGUAUGCAUAGCUCAGAGAUGAGUGAAAUCUCUUCGGAGACAUAUAGACAGGUGGUGCAUGGUUGUCGUCAGCUCGUGUCGUGAGAUGUUGGGUUAAGUCCCGCAACGAGCGCAACCCUUACUGUUAGUUGCUACGCAAGAGCACUCUAGAAGGACUGCCGUUGACAAAACGGAGGAAG
rnacentral:rRNA from 1 species